CGAGGAAGUUGGAUUGGAACAUCUUGCAGAGCGAGCGCAAGUUCCGGGAGAUGUUGUUAAAGUCAGUGGGUAGCAAUCGGGCUAGUAGUAGUGGCUAUUGCAUGCAAGGAGGCUGCAGAAUUGGCGCUUCUCAGCUCCGAUCACUACGACACGUUCUUUGGACACAUUGUCGCGGUUGUGCGUUUCUCCAAGUAGAGCAGCUCAAAGGGCAGGCCUAAUUGCUCUCGUUUUCUUAAAGAAAAUCAUUCGUAAUUCAAUGAAGUUAGAUCGAGUACCUGAAACUUUAAUUGCUUCGGCUCUCCCGGGAUAGGCUUGCUCUUUCGAUAACAUUUGAAUUCGCGAAGUCAUUAUAAGUCCUACUCUGCCGUGCAGAAAACGCUGCCAGAUUCUCACUCGCAAGAAAAUCAUGUGAGGAAGUUCUAACAGCCGUGCUCAGAAUGAAGCCUUGCUGGUUCUUCUAGGUCAGCUUUUAAAACAGGAACCAUGUCAUGCUGUGCUCCACAUAUGCCAUCUGCCUGCAGCCUGUAAAAGAAAUGGAGUCAUUCUCCCCCUGAGUGCUGAGGUCAGGAGCUCCUGUGUUGCCGAUAAAAUGAAGUCGCUGCAGGCUGAGCGAGAUGACUGAAGGCAGAAACCAGCCGGAUCUGCUGCUAAAGCUAACUUUAAUAUGUUGUAAAAAUAAAAUGCUUUGAUCAGA